rnacentral:lncRNA from 1 species
AUAUAGUCCGGCUACUAUAUUCUUAUGAGUACGAUCGCCUUCGUACUCAUAAGUUGGUUUCGAUAAUAGAGUUUCCAAAUCGACGAUCCAUACCAUUAAACAUUAUCUAAAACAUUUAAAACUUAUAGAAAUCAAAUUUUAUAAUUUUUCGAUAUCAUUUACCUUAUGAUCAAAAGCUCACAAAAUUGAUAAUUUUUAACGGUUGGUAUGAGAUAUUUGCUAGUUUAACGGUGAAAAAGAAUCGGAAUAGGUUGAAUUUUUAAUAGAAAAUUCUAUUCACUACUUAAAUAAAGAUCAAUAACUCCGAUCUUAAAUUGAAGGAUUAGAUCAUCUAUUUUUAGGAUGUCGUUCGAUUUUAACCGUUCAUUUUAUAUACCUGCUUGAUGGACUUUAUAAUUAUUUCCAAAAAUUACGAAAUUUAUUUUCUAGAAGUUUCAAAUACUCUAGAUCAUAUUUAACGGCGUAAAUCGUCAAUUCGAAGACCCCAAUAUCGAAAACAACUUAUGAGUACGAAAGGUUCUAUAUUCAUAAGAGUAUAGUAGCCAUACUCUCUCUCUCUCUCUCUCUCUCUCUCUCU